GGGGGUGAUCCGGUUUCGACGGGACGCGUUGAGGUCGGGUUGCGCGUCGUGGAUCCUCGUUGGCCACGUAAAAAACGAGGAAAAAAAGUAAUUGCGAACAACGAUUACGCUCUCGCCGCCUAAUUAACGGCCGCGAUGUCGAAGCGCCGAUGUCUGCUGAGCGCCGAGGCAUAAUUUAGCAAGCUCGGUUGAUUCCGUUUCGGACAGGGGUUCGACUCCCCUCACCUCCA
rnacentral:tmRNA from 1 species